GCAGUCGACGAACUCUGGUAUUGAUUGGUGCUUGCAUCAUGAUUUACAUUUGAGUGAGUGGCGAACUGGUGAGUAACACGUGGGAAACCUGCCCAGAAGCGGGGGAUAACACCUGGAAACAGAUGCUAAUACCGCAUAACAACUUGGACCGCAUGGUCCGAGCUUGAAAGAUGGCUUCGGCUAUCACUUUUGGAUGGUCCCGCGGCGUAUUAGCUAGAUGGUGGGGUAACGGCUCACCAUGGCAAUGAUACGUAGCCGACCUGAGAGGGUAAUCGGCCACAUUGGGACUGAGACACGGCCCAAACUCCUACGGGAGGCAGCAGUAGGGAAUCUUCCACAAUGGACGAAAGUCUGAUGGAGCAACGCCGCGUGAGUGAAGAAGGGUUUCGGCUCGUAAAACUCUGUUGUUAAAGAAGAACAUAUCUGAGAGUAACUGUUCAGGUAUUGACGGUAUUUAACCAGAAAGCCACGGCUAACUACGUGCCAGCAGCCGCGGUAAUACGUAGGUGGCAAGCGUUGUCCGGAUUUAUUGGGCGUAAAGCGAGCGCAGGCGGUUUUUUAAGUCUGAUGUGAAAGCCUUCGGCUCAACCGAAGAAGUGCAUCGGAAACUGGGAAACUUGAGUGCAGAAGAGGACAGUGGAACUCCAUGUGUAGCGGUGAAAUGCGUAGAUAUAUGGAAGAACACCAGUGGCGAAGGC
rnacentral:rRNA from 2 species